rnacentral:lncRNA from 1 species
CAGGUAAUCAAAAAAAAAAUAAAAAAAAAAAAGUUGAAAGCAGCGAGUGCACGGUCAAGAUGGGCGAAGAUGUAAUAAACGUUGUGGAGCGGUCAGUAA